AGACAUCUAACAUCCAACAUCUGGGACAGGAUGUUCAGCCUCUGUGGAUAUCAGAGCAGAGUCACCAUUCUUCCCAGCCUUGUUCUAACAACAGCGUGAGCCUUUCCAAAUAUUUACAAUCAGUUGGCACUGAACCAGCUGCCACGGAACUUCUGCGAGUUGGAAAGAGGUCCCCUUAUGUAAGAGGAAAUGGACCGUGUGGCCUGGUGGGGGAAAAUCCACCCCGGUGCAUCUUGGGAUUGGCCCUUGUCUCAGCAUGACAGUCAUCCACUGACCUACUAGUCACACCUCUCCUUUAGAAAGAGUAGAUCACUCAGCGUCUUUGAAGGUAGCCCAUGCUGGUCUGAAAUGUCUUUGCAACAAGGCUAAGGGAUCCGGAGACACUGAAGUUUGAGCUGACACCAAUUAUGCUGCAAGGGUGAAAAUUAAUUAAAAGUUUUCAAAGGGCUGUGUUCACCAUUCUUCUCUCUCUUGUGUUAUCAGCGAUGCCGCUUUCUCUCCUGGCCGGGAGUUACUGCGGUACAACGUUUUCAUGUUGCCUGUGGGGUAAUUAUGUCAACUAUAGGAGCGAGGAUAAGCGGCAGUUUGUUUUAUUCUGUGAUUAAUCUCCACACACUCUGGCGUUCCAAUCUGCCCUCAGAAGACAAAGCUUGUGAUUUUCUGGUGCAGAGGGAGGACUCAGGGAAGAGCCACAAAGGGCCGAGGGGUUGAAACCGACGUGAUUCCAGAUUGAGGCUUCUCAGGGCCGUCAAAGCAUCCGCAAACUUCCGGCUCAGUUUCCCCAUGUCCCCCUCCCCCAUCCAAGACCCUGGUGCUUUUGAGAGACCAUCUAACAUGCACAGAGUGCACUUCGAACCCUGUCCUUUCCUUACUGUCUAAACGAUGUGCCCAAACACCUGGCAAGAAGCCAUUGAAAAGGGAGUGAGUUUCUGUGGCUUACAGUUGGAGGGGAUACUGGCCACCGCAGCAGGGACGGCAGCAGGAGUGAGGCAGCGGGUAAGUUGUACCCACAGUCAGGAAGCAGAGAACAGCAAAUGCUGGUGUUCAGCUUACCAAGAUCCUGUGCCAGGGAGCUAUGCUGCCAGUGUUUAUGGGGAGUCUUCUCACUCCAAUCACCAUUUGAGGCAAACCUUCAUAGAUGUGCGCAGAGGUUUGUCUCCUGGGGCAUGCAUUCUAGAUCCAGUUACAUUGACACCAAUAUUAACCACCACAUCCCGAUGCCCCGCUCAGAACCAGCUUAAGAAGACUCGGAAGAACGAAUAUCCAUCUUCAACGCUGUGCCCCCGAGGAAUUCUUUCAUAUUGAGCGUUUUUGCACAUUAGCUCACGGGGAGUGAACCCAGCCCUUUGUGAAUCCCAGACUGAAGAUGGGCAUUUUCCAAGAUGAUGUUAGAAGAGCAGACGAGGUUUACAACCACCUCAGAUGAUAAUGUUUUACAGCGCAGAGGGGCGAGGAUAGUUGAGGAUUUGUCAUAUAGAUUCUAUAAGCGACCGGAAGGCAGGAGUCUGAUUCUUUUAGUAAAUAAAGAGAAA